AAAUAUUUGCCGCCGGGUAAAUGUUGUAUACCAUUCCAUUAGGCCUUUGAAGGAGUGGUAUUACGACAUUUUUCGCU
rnacentral:ncRNA from 1 species